rnacentral:lncRNA from 1 species
GAGACAGCAAUUCAUUGUGCUUCAUGAUCCAUUUGAUUUCUUCUACCUGAGCGUUCGUCAAAAUGCACAAGAACGGAAUCUCAAUUUUGGCAGGUAUUACCACUUCCAUUCGAAGCAUAAGGUGUUGCCCCAACUUAGAAAUGUAAUCUCCAAGUGAAAUGCUCCCCAAAGUUCAAUAGCAAAAAUUUGCAAAAUUGAAGGGAAAAUUCUCUCUCCUUUUUUUCACUCCCCUUUUUCUUUCUCCUUUUUUUUUUUUCAAGUUGGCUACUGAAGUAUGUACUCCUUCUGAAUAAAUAGCCGAUCCUCCACUUUGCAAUGUAGUAUUAUUGCCCCUUUUUUAUUCGUGAUUACCCUCCAAAUUUGCAAGAUUUUGACUUGCGUCUUUUUCUCAAUCUUAACCAUAAACUCCUGCACAAGGGGGAUUUUUCAAAACACUUGAAUUUUUCAAAAAUUUUUUUUUUCUUUUUUUCUUUUGUUUUGUUUUUCCUUUUUCCUUUUUUUUGAGUAAUGAUAUAAGAAUUAAGGUUCAAGCAAAGUGUUGACUUACCAAAAUUUGAAAAAUAUAUACUUGACCUUGGACAUAUCCUAUAAAUGUAUUAUAAAAUUGUCUCAAUUUGAACUUAUUUGGUGAAAUCUCACAAAUAUAUCACAAAAAAUUUGCCUCAAUUUGAGCUUAUUUUAGUUGCAAAAUAAUCACAUGCAAUGUGAAUAGAAACUACAUUUUUCAAAUGCAGAAUUUAAAUGUCAUAUCCAAACUCAUAUAGAAGAUUCCAUGAUAACUCUCUCAAAAUAAGACAAAAUUGCAAAAGAUCGAUUUCUCAUUUUUGGGAUCGGUGUUUAGAGAAAGUGGCCACUUUUCUUAUUAGCUCAUCCUUUAGGAUCAAACAAACAAGUAUUAUUUCUAAUUUUGAGAUGGCUCUGGGGGAUGGUAUGUCAGGAUUUGUAUUUUUUUUGUGCCCAAAUUUUGUCUAACCCAUUCAAUAUCACAUCUUGAUGAAAGUAAAUAGUUUAUCACCCUUAUUUCUUGAGAAAACUCAAUCAACAUAUAAGAUCUAUAGGCUUGUAAUAUAUGGGUAGAAACGAUAGUUAAAUAUAUGAAAACAGGUUAUGGUCUUAUGAUCAUGAGUGAUUGGUAGAUUCCUUAGAAACAUGAUCCUUACUUCAAAUUGUCAUGAAAGAUAAGUCAGUAAUGGACUUUAUGAGCUUGUAAUGUGGUUUGACAACGAUAGCUAAAAGAAAUAAAAUUUUCAAGAACAAUGCACUUAAGAUCAUAUUUCUUCCCAAAAAUUGCCCCAGUUUUGGACUUAACACUCGGGACCCCAUUUUGACUCUUUUUUUUUUUUUUUUAUCAAUCACGAGAGGGAAUUCAGCAUUGGAUGUCUUUGCAUUUUUUUUUUCAUUUUUCUUUGCUUCUCUCUUUUUCUUUCUUUUUUUUUUUACCAAUACUGAGAUUCCAAAUGUCAAUUAUAGAAUUGAAAACUCCCUAAUUUUGGAGUGUAGAUGGCACCUCUUUCUUUUCGAUAUUGAAGACCAAAUAUCAAUGGUAGAGUCAAAUUCCCCCAACUUAUAGUUUUUCUCUUUUCUUCUUUUUUUUUUAAAAAAACUCCUUCCUCAGUGUGGGGGUACGAUCAUAAUUGCUUUUGAAACGAACCCACCAAUUUAGGUUCAAAUAAAGAUGCAAAGAAUAAAAAGUGUUUGGAUGGUAGAAACGAUGGCCAAAACAUCAUUCUUAUUUCUCAUGACAACCAAAGUAAAGAAUAGCCUGUUGGGAUAAUCCAUUUCCUUUUGACAUUUGAAAAUUUUUUCAUGUAAGGUCAUGAUCAUUGAGGCUUUUAUUUGAAACGAAAUUCUAUUUUUUAAAGUCUCAAAUGGAAAAACAAAUGAUAAAAUCUGUAUAGAUUGAUAAACGAAAACUUAAAGUAUCAUUCCAAAUUUUCAAAACAAAUAAGAAGUAAUGUACAUUUUUGAUUUCACUUAGAUGUGGAUUGAAUCUGAUUAGACAAAGUGAACAUUUUCACUGUAAAGAUUGUCUCACUUUAAAGCUCGUCAACCAAUGUGACUGGCUUUGUAAGUUCGAUAGACGUGGACAAAAAUAUAAAUUACAAAAAUAAGAGAGAGAAAAGUAUCGGAGUUGAUCUUUUAUGACAAACUAUCAAAUUUGAGUGACCCCUUUUGCUUUCAACUACUCUCAUUGAAUAGUUUAGAUCACAAAUUUAGUGUAUACAAAGAUUUUUGGGAAUUGGACAAACACUUGUGAAUUUUCAAACAAAAGGUCGAAAAAUCUCAAUUUAGUCUUAUUUUUUAAAAUCCAUCAUGAAAUCUUUCAAUGAGCAAAUAAAGAAUGAAUAUAUGCAAAAUAAUAAUUGUCUAAAUAAAAACUUAUUAUUCAAAUAUUUGAAUUUUUUUUACUCAAAUAUAAUACAUAUGAGAAAAUAAAAAUCUCUAAAGAAUACACUUUCAAAUAUAUACACUUUCUCUUUCUAUCUUUUGAGAUAAAAUGUUUUGGAAACAAUGAAUCAAGAGAUUUUUGAGAUGCUUCAAGAGAUUUUCAAAUGGAUUUUUCAUUUAUUUUUUUUAUAAGAUCUGCCCAAGAAUCAAGUAACACUCAUAAUUUUCAAAAAUUUAUCAGACCAAAAAUAUUAUCAGAUAUAGUAAAAAUAUUUUUUACUCCAUUGAAACAUUUUUUCUAAAUGCAGGGGAGGGGAAAAAAUAAAAGAAAAAUACCCAGAGUUAGUAAGCAAAAUUGUAAAAUCAGGAUACAUGUCCUAUGGGGAAGUCCUUUUAUGCCAAGGGUUGGCCUAGCAUGAAAAAUGUAAUCUUUUGGGGUAAGCACCAUACAAUACCUGAUAGAUCCGAUCGACUUAUUGAGAUUCGAAUAAAAGACAAUUUUGAAAAUUUUGGCUAAUUGGAGUGACAGGAGACAAUUUGUUCUAACAAAAUGAGGAAAAAGUCCGAAUGGAUUGAUUGCUUUUGAUUGACACAUAAAGUGAUAUUAAAAAUCAAUUUAAUGUGAAAAACUUAUUUUUGAAAGAAUUGAAAUGUCUCGACUAGUUUUUUCGGUGAACUAUAGAUCGAAACUUUAAAAGAGAAUAAACGAGUUAAAUGGAUCGAAUGAAAUUGAUUAUUAGUUCAAAAAAUUGACUGAAUUAUCCAAAAAGUGAAUAAAACUGAUCAAAUGAAUUGAAUGAAAUUGAUGAUUUAUUCGAAAAAAAUUGAUUGGAUUAUCCUAAAAAUGAAUGAUGAAUUGGAUGGAACUGACGGUUUAUUUGAAAAUUGACUUGAUUGCCCAAGAAGUGAAUAAACUAGUAAAAUGAAUUGGAUGAAAUUGACGAUUUAUUCAAAAAUUGACUGGACUGACCUGAAGUGAAUAAAUCGGUCAAAAUGGAUUGGAUGGAAUUAACGGUUUAUUCGAAAAUCGACUGGAUUACUCCACUAUUUGUAGUUUCAAAACUCACAAAAUUUGUUGCAAAGCAUUAGUCUAUGAGUUUUCUAAAAUCAAGAUUUGACCUCGAUAUAUUUAUCAUCUCAACAAUGAGAAAUUAUUUGUGAAUUUUUUCAAUUUAUUGUCCUUUAUGCAAAGGAUUUUACCAACUUUGACAAAAUGGCCAAAAAAUGAUUAUUAAAGGCUAAUAUUCCAAUGCGCGAAAACUGUUCCAUCACUAUUCUCAAUGUCGUCAUCGUGGAAGGGAUCAGAUCCUACCUUACCUUGUGAAUUACCUCUUUGGAUGGUACAAAAAUAUAAACGUGCAAGUCACAUUGGAUUGUGUAUUCGAGACAAAAGAUAGAUUUUUCCUAACGUGGGAUUCCCUAUGCGGCAUUCCGUCUAUGGUUAAUGCAUGAUGACAAUUUAUUAAAACGUAUUAAAUAUACAAUGAAAUAAUUGAAAUAUGACCUAUAAGUGUCCCAUUUAAAUGGCAGGGUAAGCUUAAAAUGAUGUACAUGUAUAUAUAUAUAUAUUUAUAUAUACACAUAGUAUUAACGCGAUAAACUGAAAUUUAAACGUGCUAUUUACAAAAGGUGGUCUGCCCUAAGUGAGUACCACGCUAGGACUCUUGUUUCUAGGGCUUAUGAAUGCAAUAUAAGAAAAUAAAACAAUGGUUAGUUUAAUAAACGACACAUAACAUAUUGGAUCAACAAAAUAAUACAUAAAUAUAAGAUAAAAAAGAAAAAGAGAGGGGGUAAAAUCCCUCCCGUCGUAUCUAGUGUUCUUAAUAGGGUAGAUGAAGGUUCUAUCUUAGGUGAUUUCUAAAUGGAUGCAUGAGGUUGGGCUCACUAAUGCAUCUAAACUCGAUAAAGUUUCAGAUUCCCAAACCUUCAGACAAAAGGGCGAAGGGUCCUCAAUUCCAAAGUUCUUAGUCGGUGGCUCGAGUGACCCCUUUGAUAUUGCAACGUGCAUGUCGUGCCACGGUCACAUGUUCAAGUGGAUCGAUCCUAAUCCUAACAUAGAGGAAUGGUGUGAUAACCACUAAAAGAAAAUAAGAUAAAAGUUAAAAAUAAUAACAUAUGCACGUAUGAAGUGCUCAUUUGAGGGGAAGGAGUAAUACCCUUAAACAUGCAUGAAGGCUCUAUGGUAAUGUCGCUCCCCAUCCCCAAAUGCUAAGCGCGAUACAAAUAAAUAAAUAAACAAAAGUAAAUAGAUAAACCAUUUAUCACAUACACAAAAAACGAGGAACGAAUACUAGUGUGAAAUGUAAAACAUUCUGAAAAAAAGAAAAAUGCAACCUAAAACAUUCAAAUAUGAUAAAUGAAAGGGUUAGAAAGAUAAAAAACAACUAUGCCAAGUGCUUGGACUCUCUAGCGUUCCCAGUAGAUUCGCCAAGUAGUCGCGCCCUAUUUUUCACGAUGGAAAAAAAAUAUUUUUACCAUAGAUGCGGUUUUAUUUAAAAUAAGUGAAAAGAAAAUGUGAAAAGGGAUCUAAAAUGAGACUUUAAAAAAUGCGACACUUUGGGUCCAAAAAUUUAGUCAAAAGGAUUUUAAAGAAAAUAGAAGUCGCCACUUGGUAUUGAGUUUGAGUGUACCAAGUCACCCCAAAAAAUAUUUUUUAACAAAAAUAAAAUAAAAUAAAACUCCUUUCGACAACUACAGGUCUUUGAAAAACAAAAGAAAAUAGGUUCGGAAGUCACGGUCGAAAAAAGGGAAGGCAAAGAUUUGAUUAACUCAAACUUAAGGCAUCCUUUCAACUUAGUCUAAGUUAGUUGCGAGAUUUAGUCAAAAUUUUCCUAAUCUAGCUCUUAAUUCUAUCACAUUUGGAUGUUUUCUACAUGAAUGCAAAUCUAAAUUUAUAAAAUAUCGAAAGGGACAAAAUAUCCAUUUAAGGGUUUAAUUGAUACCAAUCGCAUUGAUUGCGAAGACAAAAUAAUUUCUUGAAGGGGUCACGAGCAUGCAUAAAUUGAAUUCAAAGAAAAGAAAAGAAACUUAAAUUAUAUAUCUAGAUAUAAGUGCGCAAAGAAUAGAAAAACAACAUAAUAGAUACGGGAGACAAAAACUCGUGACCUAAUUUUCUUAUACAGGGAUUAAUGGGUAUUUAAACUAAAAAAUUAUAAUCACCCAUUUCCCAUGUUCAAAGAAUAAUUCUCCUAACAUGAGCAAGCAAAUGAAUUAGCUGAAAUGAGAUACAAUUCUAAAUUAUAUGAUUAACACAUAUAGAGGGUAGGGGAUAAUAUAAUAGGAAAUAUCAUGCAAAUGAGAAAAAUUCUAAAAAUAAAAAUAUACAUGAAAAUGUAAUGGAUAUCAUACAAAAGAUGAAUCUAAUGCAUGAACCAUAUACGGGUCUCGCGUUGGACUAGCCCAUUUCUAAAAAAAUCUUUACUAGCAUUGGACUAGCAAGUAAAUAGAGGGAGAAACCACAACUAGCAUUGGACUAGUGUGGUGACGUCAUGCAUUCUUAACACAUAAUAUGAUAAAUAAGGCAUAAAUUAAAAUAAACAAACACAUAAGAGCACGUAGCACGUAACACAUGAUAUCUAAAUGCAAAGACCCUAAGAAAACGAGUAAACACGUAAACAUACAAGUAUGCAAACACACAAAGCAAAUAAGAGCAGAUAGAGACCUAACUAUUACAAUUUGGCAUUCAAUUGCCUUUUAAAUAAUCAUCAAAAAAUAAAUUUGUAGAACUUAAAAUAUAACAAGUAAAUAAAUAAAUAAAUAAAUAAAACACUUAAGCCAUGCAAUUACAAAUAAAACAUGUAGGAUCACAGAAAAAAUUUUAAAUUAUGAAAGAAAAUACCUCCCAUUGAAGUAGUAGCUACUUGAGUUUGGAUUUGCCCUAUUUAACUCCAAAAUUAACCAAAAUCAUUAAGGCACCCAUUUAAUCAACAAAUAAAUCAUUAAAAAUGGAAAUAAACAUGAAAUCAAUCAACUGAAACAUUCAAAUGGAAUAUAAUUCAUAAUUAAAAAGGAAAAGCAACUUCUAUUUAAGUAAUCAAAUCUAUUAGGGACCUAAUUACAAAAAUUAACAAAGUUUUAGGGAUCAAAUUGAAUUAUCACAAAGACCCAAGGUCAAAAUUAAAGAAAAAUAAAGUUUAGGGACCUAUUUACAAUUAAAUUAGGGACUUAAUUGAAGAAACCUAAAGUAUUUAGGACCACAAUAAAAUUAUUCAAAAAUCAAGGGACUGAAAUAUAAUUUCGUAACCAGAUUCUUAGCCAAAUCGGCCAUUAGGCCACUCUUAUUUAUCAUUUGGGCCAAAGGCCAUAAGGUCCACACAAAAGUCUAAGGAAAAAUACACAGGCUAGCCCGUAGUUGUAUCCAAAACACCAGCCCAAUGACAAAUGCAUGGGCUCUAGCCUCCUAUCCCAAGCCGAAAAUCCCAAUAAAAUAAACUAAAACCCAUUUCUAAAACCCAAACAAAAUAGCCCAGAUUUUUAUAUAAAACCCACCUAACAAACCUCAACCAAAACCUCCAACUAUUUUACCAAACCCAAUCAAAAUAAUAAAUCUAUCAAAAUUAUUAAAUCUUAAAUUUCAUCCUAAAAUUCAUAAAUAAUUUGUAAAAAAAAUCAUAUUAAAAAAUGCCAAAGAAAAUUUAAAUUUAAAGGGGCAGAAUUGAUUAUUUGCAGAAGUUUUUGAUCCACAGUGAAAUUAGGUAAAAAUUGGGGGAUCAAAAAUGAAAUUUUCAGAAAAUUCAUGCAUCCUGCCCAAAGCUUUCUUCUGCAGUUUCUGGGUUUGCUUGUCCGGCCAACUGAAGCUCCGACAGCCACGGCGGCGCCGACGCCUGUCACCGGAAAUUUCUCUGGUUGCCAAAAAUUACCAAAAUACACAUCCCCAUUCGAUUUUUGAAGUAGAUUCUAUUUUUUAAGUUAAUUUUUACAAAAAAAUGACCCGAAAGUGGCCAAAAGAGCAAAAGCCAGUCCAGUUUUUUUUUAACAUUCAAAUCUUCAUCAAAAAUCACAAAACUUUAUACUACCACACUCCUUGCAACUUCUACAAUACCACUAUAUUUUUAAAAUAAAGCAAAACAGCCCCUAAAAUUUAUUUUUUUUUCAUUUUGGCAUUUUUUCAAACAGUUAGCAUACAUAUAUAAAAAUUAUUUCCUUUUCCCUAAUCUAAUUCAAAUCAUUUUCCAAAUUUUUAACAAUACAACAAUAACAAUAAAAGACCACAAAAGCCAGAAAAUUAAACGAUAAAAUAUGGCUUUAACAUGGUUAACAAAAAAAUGAAAAAAAUACCUCAAUCUAAGCAAGAGUUUCACGGUCAAAAUUUUGAAGGGACUCCCAGGCUUCAUUCCUUCGUUGCUUGCUUUGUUGUAUUUAAAUUGUGUGUAGAUGUGUUGUGUGAAUUGAGAAAAUGGAGGGAUAGAGCCGAAAGGAUCAGAGAAAUUUUUUUCUCCUUCUUCCUCUCUGUUUUUUUAUUUCGGCAGCCUAAGCUGAGAGAAGAAGAGAGUGAGGGUCUCUCUGCAAAAUUUUCUUCUACUCCAUUGAGCCAGC